AGUACUCUUCUAGUACACGAUAAAUUAAAGAACCCAGGAUAUGGAUUUUCGACUUUUCCUGACUUUUUAUACCCAAUAAUCGAUAUUUGUAUACUGUAUUUGUCCACAAAAGUAAAUGUGUGCAACGCACAGAAGGAAUCUUUUCCGACCCCAUAAAGUAUAUGGAUUCUUGAUCAGCAUCAAGAGCCGAGUCUAUGUCUGUCUGUCUGUGUGUCGGCUAGUUCUCAGAGACUAUAAGAGCUAGAGCCACCGAAUUAUGCCUCCAGACUGCUGUGAUAUCACACUGAU
rnacentral:lncRNA from 1 species